CGUAACUAUAACGGUCCUAAGGUAGCGAAAUUCCUUGUCGGGUAAGUUCCGACCCGCACGAAAGGCGUAACGAUUUGGGCACUGUCUCAACGAGAGACUCGGUGAAAUCAUAGUACCUGUGAAGAUGCAGGUUACCCGCGACAGGACGGAAAGACCCCGUGGAGCUUUACUGUAGCCUGAUAUUGAAAUUCGGCACAGCUUGUACAGGAUAGGUAGGAGCCUUUGAAACGUGAGCGCUAGCUUACGUGGAGGCGUUGGUGGGAUACUACCCUAGCUGUGUUGGCUUUCUAACCCGCACCACUUAUCGUGGUGGGAGACAGUGUCAGGCGGGCAGUUUGACUGGGGCGGUCGCCUCCUAAAAGGUAACGGAGGCGCUCAAAGGUUCCCUCAGAAUGGUUGGAAAUCAUUCAUAGAGUGUAAAGGCAUAAGGGAGCUUGACUGCGAGACCUACAAGUCGAGCAGGGUCGAAAGACGGACUUAGUGAUCCGGUGGUUCCGCAUGGAAGGGCCAUCGCUCAACGGAUAAAAGGUACCCCGGGGAUAACAGGCUUAUCUCCCCCAAGAGUUCACAUCGACGGGGAGGUUUGGCACCUCGAUGUCGGCUCAUCGCAUCCUGGGGCUGUAGUCGGUCCCAAGGGUUGGGCUGUUCGCCCAUUAAAGCGGUACGCGAGCUGGGUUCAGAACGUCGUGAGACAGUUCGGUCCCUAUCCGUCGUGGGCGUAGGAAAUUUGAGAGGAGCUGUCCUUAGUACGAGAGGACCGGGAUGGACAUACCUCUGGUGUACCAGUUGUCGUGCCAACGGCAUAGCUGGGUAGCUAUGUAUGGACGGGAUAAGUGCUGAAAGCAUCUAAGCAUGAAGCCCCCCUCAAGAUGAGAUUUCCCAACUUCGGUUAUAAGAUCCCUCAGAGAUGAUGAGGUUAAUAGGUUCGAGGUGGAAGCGUGGUGACACGUGGAGCUGACGAAUACUAAUCGAUCGAAGACUUAAUCAA
rnacentral:rRNA from 1 species